GAAUUGCACGGUCGUUAUAUCAUAUCAUAUUUGUUGUACUGUUUGCCGUGUCUUUCUUCUGAAAUAGUAAUAACCUCACAAAGUCGUUGAAAAGCAGUACUCUUUAAUUUUUAUUCAUUAAUGGAAAAAAUAUAUUAAAGAGCACAUGAAUCACCACCUCCACCUUAUCACCUUCCCUUUCACCUUCACCUUGUCGGUAUCUAUCUAUAGAUUCUAUAUAUCUGUCCUUCUUCCUUAUUUAUUUCACUCCAAAGAACUGUAUAACACCGAAUUUUCUGAUAGAAGGCGUUGCGUAUUAGUAUCAAUGUGUCAGUAUUGUGUUUGGUGUCUCUCUGGUGAUUUAUAGGUUGGGAGAAUGGAGGAGAGUAGAGUUUUCUUUUUUUCUGUCCUUCUAAUUGAAGGAAUUGGUUGGUAUGAAUAAUGAGCUAGCAAUGUUGGUUGAAAAGGAUAGAUAUGGGGAGAGAGAGAGAGAACAAGAAAGCUAAGAGCCCUAAUUCAUAUCAAAUAGAUCAAAGAAGAUAGAUAGUAUUUAGAAGUGAUGCAUAUUGAAUAUGUGCAGUGUAGGACAGAAGUGCAGUGUGUGGCCAAAAUAGGAGGAAAUGAGAUUGCAGAUCAGAUCUUACAGUUGCAUCAGUGGAGAGUGGUAGGGUUGAUGCCAUAUUGAAUAUUGAUUCAAAGAGAGACAUAGUAGCUAGAGAGUAAAGUAAAUGACAGAAGAGAGUGAGCACAUACCGGUAGUGAUUGUAUGAUGACAUACAAUUCUUGGUGUGUGCUCACUUCUCUUUCUGUCAUCUUCUCAUCUCUUCAACGUGUCUCUCUUCACUUUCCAUCAUCGUCAUAGUCGUAUUUUUAGGUAUAUGACUCUAUUACUCUCCCUUGAGGUUCACUCUAGUUAUCUUGAAUGGUGAAUCAACUCCCUUAUCUAUUUAUGCCUUAUUAGAACUCAUAUACUAGUAAGUAUUAGGGUUUGAACAUUAUUUGUAAGUUUCAACUUAACAAUAUCGAUUUUUAUCAAUUGAACUAUGAUUUCAUAUAUAUUUGUGACUUAUUAGUUAUACAUUUGCUUAAUAUUUAUCAUGUAUAUUAUUAGAUUUUUUGAGAGAUUAUUUUGGUACUAAUGUGUCAAAAUAACAUCAUAGUAGAAUUAUAUUAGAAUUAUAGACAAACUCUAAGUUGAUAGAAUUAAAUUUUACUUAAAGAUUCUAGAGCUAUUUUGAUAUGUUGCAUGUUUAAAUUAACAAUUAUUUAUUUUUUAGCACUUAUUUGUGUAACUUAUUUUUUGUUAUAAAUUUUAGGAUGAGGAAAUGGUGUUCACUUGAAGGUAAGGAAGAUAUUAGAUUUACUUUCUUCUAAGGAAGACCUAGUGUAAGUUUUGUAGCUGAAAUCUUUAAUUUAAUGUUAAUUAAUUAUUAAUUUUCUAAUACUAUACUAUAGUACUAUAUUAUAAUAUUAAUAUUUUUAUUAAGGCGAUGUAAUCAAAGCGUGGCUUUUUAUGGUACUUUUUAUUUGAAUAUCAUUCAUUAUGUUGAAUCCUUAUCCCAAAUGGAGCUCCUCAAAGGUACGCAAUUUUACUAUUCAUUCUCUAACAGAAAAUUCUGUUAAUUUAUGGAUCAAAUUUCACCAAAUCCUUUUGUUUUUCUUACAUGAAAUCAUGCUUUCCCUCAAUCUGAUCCAUAAUUUGUGCUUAACCCUAAUAAUUUGUGCUUCAUAUGUAUAUAAUCUGUAGGGUAAAAUCCAUAAGAAAAUGGGAUUUUUUUUUGAAGGGUCAUUGUCAAAUUAUGAAUAUGUCUUCUGUAUUGUAGCUAAAUAUGGUAAUGUUUUGUUUUGCUUUUUUCCCUUUGUAGUAGCUAGCUAGGUCUUGAGUGGAUAUAGAUGAAUUCAAUGAAGCACCUACCUUCCUUAAUUGUAUAGAAAGCUGUGAGGAUAAUCUUUGGCUCAGAAGUUGGUUACUGUUUCCAGAACUGCAAAAAGAAUACAUGAAUUCAGGCACUAUAUAUAGCUGUUCAGGUAACCUUUUUUCCCAUCUAUGGAGUGAGUUCUAGUUUAAUCAAUGGAGAGAGGGAGGUGAAACAUAGGGAGAUGGGUAUGGUUGAUAAACCCCUUAAUGGAUUACUUUGAUGCAGUGACACGGAACCAGUCACGAUACUAUCACGGACACUUCGACACCGAUAAAAAUUUAAAAAGUGAAUUAAUUGAACGUAAUCAUAUGUGUUGGUGACGAGCACCGAUACACCUUCCAUUAGAAGAAUGACCUAAAUAAAGAAUAUAUAUAAGAUUAAUGACUCUUGUACUUUUUUGGAUGGCGAUGUGUUGUUGUGAGAUCUCUUGGUGCUCUCAGUCUUUUUAGCCGGCGUUACUCCCGAUCAUGGUUUUUAGUUGCGCUCAGAUAUGCAACUAAUGUUAUCGUGGGCACUGCAGGUGUUGCAAUGCGUAUUGUGGUUGACAAUCGUUGUGACAUGAUUUUAGUUUUUAUUUGCAUAAAAUAUUAUAAUUUAUUACUUAGCUUAUAACUCACAUAUCUCUUAUUUUCUCUCUAAACUGUUGUCCAUCUAUCUCAAUAUCAGCUAUUUAUCACUUUACAUUUCAAAAAAAUGCCUAUCACUUUAAAACAUCUCUUAUAAAAAUACCCUAUAGAUCUAUGAUAAAAAGAAAAAGGAAGAUAUAUAUGUUAUUUGUGUAAGCACUAUAUAGUUUGUCGUGGCCUGACGUGGGCGUUGCGCCCACUACAUUGUGGCCAUUGCAGUGUUGUAAUAUGGUUUUUUAUGUGAUUCACAAUCACAUUGCAAUUGUGGCGUGAAACCGCAAUAUUGCGGCUGCAUGUGAUGCAGUCUACAAUUUGAAACUGGGCUUCCUAGACUCCCCUCCCCAACAAUAUGUAAAAAAUAGUCAUUCAUGCAAACUUGAAAUUCAAUUAUACCUUGGUCACUACUUUUUGCCUGAAAUAGUUGCUAAGUAGUUUCUAUCACUACUUUUGAAUUAUUAUUGUUUGAACAACAAAUUUUAUAGAUAGAAAGUGCUAGGUAUACUCCAACCCAUAUGCCAAUUGAAUUAUAUAAAACUACCAACCUUUGACUUAGCCAGAAACCACUUCUCCAUGAUACAACAACCUUUAUAAGCUUAACUAGUAUCAAUAGAACAUAAAGAUUAGUUAAAUUUGAAUUUUGAAAUGACUGAUGAUUUAUUGAUAUAUGUUAUCUAUCAUGCAUGUAACUGAAAAUUCUGUAACCUAGAUAUGAAGCAGGCUAGGGGAAACAGAAAAUAUGUUUACUUAGGAUUUAAUAGAUGAAGUGUUUUCCAAGUUCUUACUUUCUUUUUGGUGUUUAUUCAUGUUUGUAACCUACUAAGGAGUUCUGUUCCCUCAUUGUAUCAGUAUUCAAACUAAUGAUGAUAUAGUGUAAACUUAAUGCAGAUCCUUUAUUCAUUUGAAGGUAGACCAAAAGAUAAAACUACUAAAAAAAUGAUUAAGUUACUCAUUAAUCAAAGUUAAAGUUUGAUUAAUCUCUUUUUAGGUUAGCUUCAAAAAUACUAAUUAACUAUUAAACAUUAGUACAUAGGUUAGUGGAGUUGAGAGGUGAAGAAAUUAAAUGCAAGUUGGCCAGUGUAAUGAGUGUUCAUAUCAGGUACCUCCCUCUGAUGAAGAUAAUCCCAACACUUAUCAUCAUCAUCACAAUUUAUUGAUAGAAUUGAAAAUUACACAAACUUAUCAUGUUAGAGGACAAUGUAUCAACUUAUAAGUACAAAGUUGGACAAAAAAAUUAUUAACUCGGCAGAAUUACAAUAACUAUUCAUUAUCAGGUACCUCCACUGUGUUGAAGGUACAAAUUUGAUAAUGAACUCCAUUGAAAGUUGAAACUAUUGCUCCUCUUUUCCUUUUCAUUGUCUCACACGUGUUUUUCACUUAGGUUUUCUUUGACUGCAUUCAACUUUGAAUGUACAACUUUUGUACAUAUGUCCAAAUUUGAUGCAAGUAAUUUCAUGUUAUGGGGUCACUACUCAGAAUAUAUUUAAAAAUACAAAAUAUAUUUAAAAUAACACUCCCCUCAAGAUGAAGCAUAUAUGUCAGAUGUAUCCAAUUUGUUAUAUAUGUAAGCUACCCUAGGGCUGCGUAAGGACUUAGUUAGCAUUUGUACAAGUUGACCAUUAUAUCUGAUAAAAUAAUUCUUGAUGAUGUCUGAGAGAAUUUUCUCUCUAAUGAAAUGACAAUCAACCUCUAUAUGUUUAGUCCUCUCGUAAAAGAUUGGAUUUGACGAGAGGUGUAAAGUAGAUUGAUUGUCACAAGCAAGUUCCAUAGGACAUAUCUCACAAAACUUCAACUCUUGAAGCAGAUUCCUUAACCAUACAAGUUCACAUAUUGCAUUAGUCAUAGCACGAUACUCACCUUCAGUGUUUGACCUUGCAACAACUGUUUGUUUCUUGCCAAUAGUCUAAAGUGGAUCUUCUAUCACCUCCUGUCCAAUUUGCAUCUAAAUAUCCAAGAAUAUUAGUGUGGACUAUGUCCAUAUAAAUAUGUCCUUUUUGCUUGGGGAUCCUAAGGGUAUGUUUGGAUUGAUGGAAUGAAGUGGAAUGAAAUGGAAUAAGGUUAUUUUCAUCGUUUGAAUUGAUUUAAAACAGAUGGAAUGGAGCGGUAUCCGAUGGAAUGCAUUCCAUUCCAUUUCAUCACUUUCCAUCAUUUUUUGUACCCUCCGAUUUGGGCGGAAUGACAAAAUUGAUUUAUUCCAUCAUGAAUUAUCCAAACAAUGGAAUAGCAUAUUUAUUCCAUUCCGCUAUGUUUCAUCCGCUCCACUCUGUUCUUUUUAUUGUAUCCAAACAUAGCCUUAAUGAAUCUUAGGAUCCUAACAAGUGCAUUCCAAUGACUAUCACUAGGUGAAUUGAGAAACCGACUAAUGACACUGAUUGGAAAUGCAAUGUGUGGCCUAGUCAUAUUAAGAUAAUUUAACUUUCCAACCAUUCUUCUAUAUUGGCCUGGAUCUAGAUAGGGUUCCCCGUGAUUGGGUAUAAGCUUCUCAUUUGGAUCCAUAGGUCUAUCCACAGGUUUACAAUCAAGCAUCAUUGUUUCCUCCAAAAUAUUAAAAGCAUAUUUCCUUUGAGAAAUGGCAAUACCUUUUUUAUAUUGUGCAACUUCAAUUCCAAGAAACUGCAGCCGAUCAAGAUCUUUGGUCAUAAAAUGUGUAAUCAAGUGUUGCUAAUUUAGUUGUUCAAUACCUUUUUCAUCAUCACCUGUAAUGACAAUAUCAUCUACAUACACCACAAGGUCAAUCAUCUCAUUCAAAGGCGGGCAUUUAAAGAAAAUCAAGUGAUCUACUUCACAACGAAUCAUACCAAAUUGUUAAAUAACUUUGUUAAAGUUUCCAAACCAAACACGAGGUGACUGUUUUAAUCUAUACAACGACUUUUGCAAUCUCCUGACAAGACCAGACUCUCAUUCAGCAACAAAGGCAACUGGUUGCUCCAUAUAAAUCUCCUAUUCUAAAUCAUUAUGUGGAAAGACAUUCUUGAUAUCAAGUUGGUAGAAAGGCCAACGAUGGAUGGUAGCCAUAAACAAGAACAAACGAACUGAUUCCAUUUUAGCAAUUGGAGAAAAAUUAUCACCAUAAUCCAAAUCAUAAACCUAAGUAUAUAUUUUUGCCACCAAUCGAGCCUUCAAUCGAUCAACAUGCCCCUUAAACCCAACUUUGACAGUGAAAACUCAUCGAUAGUGUUAAGAGUCCCACAUCGAACAAUAUAUGGCUUAAACAUGUACUUAUAAGUGAGGACAAUCCUCACCUUACAAGUCGGUUUUGUAGGGUUGAGUUAGGCCCAACCACAUUUCUUAACAUGGUAUCAGAGUCUGGUUUAAGAUCCGGUUGGCCAUCUAUUAUGGUUUCCGCUAUCGGGCCACCCACCAUUUAUUUUCACGCUCCAGUUGUCUAGUCCUGGGCGUGAGGGGGUGUGUUAAGAGUCCCACAUCGGACAAUAUAUAACCUAAACAUGUACUUUUAUGUGGGGGCAAUCCUCACCCUACAAGUCGGUUUUGUAGGGUUAAGUUAGGCCCAACCACAUUUCUUAACAGAUAGAAAACCCAUUGAUAACCCACUAUAGAUUUUCUAGUAGGAUGAAGAACAAGAGUCCAUGUACUAUUGGAUUCCAAAGACUUCAUCCCAACAAUCAUUGUUUUACUCCAUCUUAGAUGAGAUAAUACAUAAUGACGAACAUCGAGAACAUAGUGGAACAUCUGCAAGAGCGUCAAGAGGAAUUGGUAAUACAGGAUGCAAUAUUAAAUAUGAAUUAACUGAUGACACGAAGAACAUAGUAUCCCCAGAAAAUGUAACAUCUGCUGACACAGAGAAACAAUGUGCUCUUGGACAAUAACAUUGAUAUCCCUUUUGAACCCGAGAAUAUCCAAGAAAAACACAUUCGACCGUCUGAGCAGACAACUUUUUACGUCUUAAAUUAAGAUCAUGUAUAAAACAGGUGGAAUCAAACACACAAGGGGAACAACAUAAAGGGAAUCAUGUGGAAACAAAAUAUAUUAGGGACAUUUAUUACCCAAAAGAUUAUUUAUUAAAGAGAGAUGGAAGAGGCGAAGCCUGACCAACACCAGUUGCAUGUGCCUUAGACCCACUUCAAGAGAGAUGGAUUACCAGCUAAGUGAUCAGAUGCACCAAAAUCUAAAAUCCAUGGUCAAAUAGAUGGAGAAAUCAUAAUCUCCUCCCAAAACUUAUUUUGUGAGGUGUUUUGGGAGGCGAAGAAAUCAAACUCUUCUUCUCAAACUUAUUUUCAUCAACAUUCUCCUUUUCCAUACAAUAACAACCAAGCCUUGUCCCACUUAGUGGGGUCGGUUACAUGGAUCGACUUUCGCCAUAAUGUUCUAUUCAAAUCCUUGAUUUUAUCCAAAUUGUUAUACUUGAGAUCUUUCCUAAUAACUUCUCUUAUAGUAUUUUUAGGUCUUCUUCUUCCUCUAGUUGUUUGACUACUCUCCAUCUGAUUUACUCUCCUUACCACAGAAUCUAAAAGUCUUUUCUCUACAUGUCCAAACCACCUAAGUCUAUUUUCCACCACCUUCUCUACUAUAGGUGCUACCCCAACACUCUCUAAUAUUUGCAUUUCUAAUUCUAUCCUUUCUAGUCUUACCACACAUCCAACACAACAUCAUCAUCUCUGCUACACUUUAUUCUCGUGUUGAUUCUUGAGCACCCAACUUUCUGUCCCGUACAACAUCUUAGGUCUUACCGCAAUCCAAUAAAAUUUUUCCUUCAACUUGAGCAACACCUUUGCUUCUCAUAGAACCCCUGAAGCCCCUGCUCCAUUUCAGUCCCCUUGCUUAAAUUCGAUGGUUUGCAUCUCCUUCUAUUUCUUCAUCAUUUUGUAUUACAGACCCAAGGUAUUUAAACCGUGUGACUUGAGGGAUGAUAUGGUCUCCAAUUUUCACCUCUAGGUUAGAAACACUUCUUUUUUUGUUGAACUUCCAUUUCAUAUACUCCGUCUUACUUCUACUUAGGUGAAAAUCAUGUGUUUCUAAAGCUCUUCUCCAAAUCUCUAACCUCUCAUUUAAAUUCUCUUUUGACUCUCCAAGUAGGAAUAUAUCAACUGCAAAAAGCAUGCAUCUCGAUGCUAGCUCUUGGAUGUGUUCCGUAAGUACAUCCCAAAAUUAAGGUAAAAAGGUCGGAGGCUUAGGGUUAAACCCUGAUGCAAAUCUAUUAUAAUGGAGAUAUCGUUUGUCUCUCCACCUUGUGUCCGCAUGCUAGCUGAUACCCCUUUAUACAGAAAAUCAAAUUGACAAAAUAAAUUCAAACACUACAAAACAAUAGGAAAGGAACCCUAAAAAAAGUUCUGGCAAACACACCACACCGGAAUGACUGCGGUCAGAAACAGAGGUGUGUACGGUGGUGUGCAUAGGGUUUCGUCUAUGGUGGCGCGUGGAGGAUGACACGGCCAUGCGAUUCAGGCUACUAACAGAUCGGUUAUGUCUGAAUCGAUCGAAGGACCACGUGUCUCUCUCUGGGACUCUGGAGACGGAAAGGUAGUGAAAUUGAGUCAGCCAGCAUUCACAGUGGCAAAAACCCUAAAAAAACAAAACUGAGAACAAGAAAAAAUAGGGUUGAACCAGAAUGCUCGAAUACCAACUUACAUUUAAAUAUUUCUCAUUACUUUCAUAAAGGAAUUACAAGUCUAUAGUAAAUACAAUCCCAUAAUAAUAGAAUCGCCUUAAAAGCAAAAUAUAUUUACAAUAACAAGAUGAUUAUAAAGGCUACUAAGCAAAAGCAGGCAACCCCAUAUAAGAAAAAGAAACUACUUCCAUAAAAUACAUUUGAAGGAGCAACACAUCAUUCAUAGUACAAACAAUAUCUAUCCUUAGCCCGAGUAGUUAACAUAACAAGGCUUUGACAUCACCAGUAACCCUCCUCCAAAAUAGAUUAAGUCGAGUAGAAACUAGGAAGCCUAUUCAACAACAAUUGCUAAGAAAAAUCUAUUAGCUUAUAUUGUGCAUAACUUUUCAAUUGAUUCCUGAUCACCUCGUCCUUAGGAAAUUACAGCGGAGGAGUAGAUUUUGCUGAAAAAUUACUAUAAGUUGAACUGACAGCAAAUAUGCAUCAAUUGUUAGGCGGGUUAGAAUGGACAUAUGUUUUCUGUGAGUUCAACUUAUAGUCAUUUGAUUCCUAAUCACCAGCACCUCAUCCAUAGGAAAACUCAACGGAUCACGGAAUUUUGCAGUAAAAAAUGACUGCAAGAUGAACUGGCAAAAACAUACGUCCAUUCUAACCGGCUCAUCACUAUGUUCCCUUCAGGGGAAAAAUAGUAAUGGAUUCCAGCAGCCAAAGAAACUCAUCCCUUAGUGCUUGCUCACUGACAAAGAAACUCCUCCUUCAGUCAAAAACCUUUCAUAGCCAACCUCCAAGAUCAUUCCCUUGCACCGAUAUUUAUCGCAAAAAGCCUCCUGAAGACACCCUGUAAAGGCCCGUGAUGGUGACAUAAAAUGCACUCACUGAUAUUAACAAGACAAACAUAUGAAAUGAGGGUAGGAAAAUAACCUAAACAAUUACACCUUUAAAUUUUAACUUUUCUUAUAAAUGAGAUAAAAAAGUCUUAUAAUUAAGACCGGAGGAAGUAUUUUAUGUGCGCGCGCGCUCCUAAUUAUGUGUGUGCAUACAUAGGUUACAUAACAUUAGAUGGAAAUUAUGAUCUACCAAGGGUAUCAUAUGAAAAGCAUAAUUUCACUAUCAUAGUCAUGAUUUUAAUUAGUAAACUUUGUUGAUUGGUCUAUAUCCUCUAAUUCAGUCUAAGUGAAGUGGUGCAAACACACUUUCUAAAUUACUCUCUUUAACAGAAGGAUGGUCACGAUUGAGCUAAGAGGUUGGAGUCGCGGGCCUAGAAGGAGAGGCUAUCAGAUUUUGCAUCCUCUUGCAUAGGAUUUCUCUUAGAUCCUUGUGAAGCUUUUGUUGUCCCCAUGAGUGGUGUCUAGAUGCAUUAGAGUUCAAAGGUCGAUGGUCUCAAUACUUUCUCAACCUUGUUCACCCUCAACCCUUCCUAAGACUAGGUCGGUUUGCCUGUGUUGCUUUGGUGUCCCUUUACAUAUAUGGGUGGAAGGAACCUACUAAAACUUAGUUUUCUCUUUGGUGGUUUUGUGGUGGUGGAUGAAGCUAUUCUUGCAAAAACAAGGUUUGACUUUAGUAGAUUAAGUGUUUUAGUAGAUGUAAAUGUUAAAAUCGAUUCAUUGGUGUUAGUUUCAGUGGAAGGUGCCGAGUGUGAUGUUAAAUUGAUUGGAGAAUCUACAAGCGAAGCAAUUUUGGUUCCUAUGACACUAGAACUUGAUUCCAUUAAUGGUUUUUUGCCGGCGUCUUCUUCUGGCUUGUUUAGGCAGUCUGAGUGAGUGGAUGAGGACUAGAUAGACUCGUUGAGUAACAUUUUAUUUGGCUCAGAGAAUAACCACUCUAUCUCGGGGGUCAGUUGGUCCUAACAGAGCGUUGGAGGGUGUUGGUCUGGUUUAGUCCAGCUUUAUGAUCGGCCAAUCAAUUGACAAUCCCCGCUGACAUCCUAAAAGAAAAGUUUGGUUGCUAAAAACUAGCAGAUAGCAAUAGGAGGUGCAUGGUCUCGAUCCAAAAUGUUGAGGCUAAUUAGAGCAUCAAGUCAACAUCUCUCUUGUCCAAUUAAGUUAUUGUCCAUGAAAAAUGUGUCUUUAGUAGUUCCACUUCUUGUCCAAUCCAGUGCCAAGUGUCAUAAGCACAAAGGUGCCUGUGACUGGGACAAACCUUGUCUGCUGGCGUAUUUGGGUCUUUUCGUGUCGUGGACCCGUGUCUGGUACUUGCAUGUGGUAACUUGAAUUUCUGUGUCUUCCCAGAAUUGAUGAGUUCUACCUCUAUGGGGGUGUAUUUUGAUCCAACCUACUCAACGGAGGUCUUGCUCCCGUGACCCCUAUCUCUAUUUCAUUAUCCAGGGUUGUUGAUUGAUUUUCCAGAGUAGCGACAUUCGAAAGGAUGCUCCUUGGGUUUUUUCUUCAAUCUCACUCCUCUUCUUGUCUAGUGGUUCACAUUAUUUUGCUUACAAGUAAUUCGAGGAAUCUUGGAGACUUCGUUGGAAAAUCGUUAGUUAACUUGGAUGGUUUCAAUAGUCCUAUUUCUCUAGAGACCGUUGUGAGCUAGUGUCUGUAGAAUUUCAUUCUAAUGGUAGGGGGCCUAAACCUAUCUCUCAGGAAAUCAAGGACCUUGAGAGCAUUAACCUAUCCGUCCAUUUGGAGAACUCAUCUCCAUAUAUUUUUCUGAAAUAUCUACAUGAAGAGAAUAAUGUUAAUAAUGAACGGACAAAUCAUCGUGGAUGAUACAUUCUGUAUAUUUAUGGAGCUAUUCUACUGGGUACGAAACGAAACACACGAAGGCAAAAUGUUUAGUUAGAAAGAAAUAUAAACGUGCCAUUAUACGGAAACAUGGGGUGGGUUUAGGGUAAUUCUUGCCAUUCUUCUAUUUGUUCCUUCGUAACAAAUAGUAUUUUCCAUAUUUAUGUGGUAACUUCUUUUGUGACUGAAGUUUUGUCCUCAUAAUGGAAAAUAAUGGAAGUAUGCAUUCUAUUUGGUGUACUUCUAAGUGUACAUCAAUUUUCCUUUUGCUGGAGUGGAUUUCACUGGGGUGUGUGAGGGUUAGGGGCGGCAUGUAAUUGUUGUUAUGUGGUUGAUGUCUAUUUGAACUUUAGUAUUGUAGAGAAAAGAUUCGAUGGGACGAUAUGGUAAUAGGUAGUGCCUUUUUCAAGGGUGACUUGUGGCGUGUCAUGGGUGAUUUUAAUAAUGUGUCCUCUCUCUUGAUGAAAGAAGUUGUGUUUUGGUGGAUUCACCCCGAUGGAUAUCAAAAAUCUCCUUCUUUAGGGACAAACUUUCACUUGGUUCCAAACUAAUGGGAGAGCUAUGUGUUGUUUAGACUUCAUCCUGGUGUAUGAAGGUUGGUUGGAUUUUUGGGGGUUUCCUUACUAACGGGCUCUUCCCAGGACACCUCUAAUUGGUUCUCUUGUGGUUAAGUACUCUUUGUGGGACCCAAAUCCUUUUAGGUUUAAUGACUAUUUGGCUCAACCGCAAAGAAUUUUGUACGCGGUUGUUAAAAGCUAAGAAUGAGGUUGUGUUCUUAGGGUGGAUAAGUUUUAUUUUUAAGCAGAAGCUGGAAUUUAUUAAGAAAGAUCUUAUGCAGUGGAAUGGCGAGGUGUCUGGUGAUUUGGAUGCUAAGAUAUAUGUUGUUUCAGAGGAUAUUAAGAGGUUGGACUUGGAAGGGGAAACAUUGGUUCUCUCUUGACAAUGUCCCUGCCAGAAGCAAAGUCUUUGUGGAUAGGUGGGGUUUCAUAAAGUGUAAAGAAUCAAUGGCUAUCCCAAGACCGAGCCUGUUGGUUGAAAGAAUGGGUAAGCAGAAUCAAAUUGUGGUGUUGAAGGUUGGCAAUCACUGGGAUGAAGAGGUUCCAGAAGUGCGUUCGGAGGUCAUUAGCUAAUUCUCUAGUCAGUUCUCUGAAUCUCCUAGUGACAUACUGGGGUUAGAUGGAGUGACUUUUCCGGCUCUUGCAUGGGACCAGAGGUCGGCCUUAUUGUCUCAUUUCUUUUAGGUGGAGUCAGAUGAAGUAGUUUGUAUGUGUUAUGGAAACAGGAGUUAGAGUCCUAGCAGGUUCAAUUUCUCCUUCAUCAAAUACUUUUGGUAUCUUUUUAGGGAAGGCUUUUGGUUGACGUUUCACCUGUAUGCUAAUGCUAGGUUAUCUCUUUAUUGGUGGUUUCUACAAACCGGUUGCCAAGUUUUGGCGUAUAGGCUAGCUGAGAUUAUGGGAUCGCCUAAUCUUGCUUAAUCAAUUGACUUUUGUUAGGGGGAAUUGGUUGAUGGGUUUAUGGUGGUGAAUGAUAUGAUUGAUGUGAAUAAGAAAUCUAAUUGAGAAUGUCUGGUCUUCACGGUGAAUUUUAAAAAUGCUUAUGACUCGGUGAGUUAAGGUUUCUUAGAUUACAUGCUUAGCAGGUUUGGUUUUGACAACAAGUUAUUUUCCUGGAUUUGUGCUUACGUGUUUUUCGGUAACCUCUCUAUUCUGGUGAAAGGGUUUCUGCCGAAAGAGAUUAAUACUCACAAAGGUCUCAAGCUGGGUGAUCAUCUAGCUUUCUUCCUUUCUGUCUCAUGGCAGAAGGAUUGGGAGACAUGUUCCCGACAAAUGAGUCCCUUGUGAGUUGUUUUAAGGCUCUCUGUGAGGGGAGGGGGGACUUUGGUGUGUUUAUUUUUCAUCUAUUGUUUGCGGAUGUCACUUCUCUUUUUGUUGAACCUAUAGUUGAUAAGCUUUAGAAAAUGACGACUACUUUGUGCUGUUUUGGGCUAGCAUUUGGGAUAGAUCUUAAUUUUUCUAAAAGUAGCAUUAUGGAAGUGAAUGAUGUAGAUCGUUCAUGAGGAUGGGAGAGUGUUUUCUUAAUUUUAAAGUAGGUUCAAUUCCCUUUAGAUAUCUUGGCCUUGUAGAGGAAGCGACUAGCUGCAAAUUGGAAAGCUGAGAACCUUUCCUUGUUUCUUUUUGUAAGAGAUUUGAGUCCUGAAGAAAUAAGUAUAUCAUUUUGGAUGGUAGAAUUGUCCUUUUGAACUCUAUCUAAGUAGGAUUCUUAUCUUUUAUCUCUCUUUUAUGAUUCGUGUGGAAACAAAUCACCAACUUUUAUAGGUAGUUCCUUUUGGGAGGGGUAAAAGGAAGUAAUAAGUUUUGGGGGGUCAAGUUGUCUAAUGUCUAUAAGGCGAAUAAAGUUGGGGGUUUAGGGUGAAAGACUUGAUGUAUGUUAGCUUGGCUCUGGUAGGUAAGUGGAGACGGAGGGUAAUUUAUAGUGCUGACUCUUUUUUUGCGUAAGGUUCUUGUAGCUAGGUAUGAUGGCGAUAUCAUCCUUUCACUGGCAAGCAGCUGCACCAAACCAUUCCAUUCAUACUCUUAUUGGUGAAAUCAAAUUUCUCAUUUAGAUGUUUCUUCUGAAGUUGUUUCUUCUUCGGUGUGGAGAAAAUGAUAUGUAAUGACUUGUUGACAAACUUUUUAGUUUGAUGAGUAUGUGGGUGGGGCCACCCUUCCCUCUCCCCCUUUCAAGUGAUCAUCUGAGGUCUUUUUCCCUUGUUUGGAAGAGUUAAGUGUCACCUAAGGUUAUUGCUUUCUCUUUCUCUUGCUAACUCUUUUUAGAUAGAGUGUCAACUUAUAAUAACCUUUUUAAACUGAGGGUUAUUCAGGUUACUCAAGAUUUGAAGUGUGUUUAGCUGUUGGAAUCAAAAACUUCAAGCCACUAGUUUCUAAUCUGCAACUUCACAUCAGAAGUUUGCUACUCGGUGGUUAGUUAGCUAGGCCAAGAGUUUGUUUUACCACCUGACUUGUACUCUUUAUUCUUGGUUAUUAGUUGUUUCACAAGUGACCGCCACCUUAAACAUCACAUAGCUUUGAUUUGACAUUUAGUGAUUUGAUCAAUAUGAAAGUUGUAAAAUUAUUUUAUUUUCUCUAAUAAGGUUCGAUUCAGGGUAAUCGGUGGUUCACAUUAAGUCCCUAAGAUUUUUCUGCGCAUUCUUUAAGUGAGUAGGAGAACCCACACUUUGCCUAGUGAAAUUGUUUGUGGAGCAUCUAGUUAGCUAGUCUUGUUUGUUGGGUGUUUUGUUUUCUGAGGGCUUUUUUCCGCCUGUGUUUUAGGCUUUUCCUAUGCUUUUGGAAGUGCUGGGCUUCUCUUAUUAUUACGCUGUUUAAAUCCUUAUGGUCUUGGACUUGGGUUGUAGACAGGAAGAGUUUCUUUGCACCGAACCAUGAACAACUAGACAAAAUCAUAUGACCACCAUCUUGUUUUGAAAUUUAUUAUAGCUGACUAUGAUGUUUUACUUUCUUGAGUUUUGAAUGAGUGUUGGCUGUUUAGAAUAUUUUGAGUAGAACUACUAGUACUAUUGUUAUUGCUUAAUGAUCAUAAUGUUAUCUAUCAGCUUCUUGAAA